UAUGGCGACCGGCGCACGGGUGAGUAACACGUAUCCAACCUGCCGAUGACUCGGGGAUAGCCUUUCGAAAGAAAGAUUAAUACCCGAUGGCAUAGUUCUUCCGCAUGGUAGAACUAUUAAAGAAUUUCGGUCAUCGAUGGGGAUGCGUUCCAUUAGGUUGUUGGCGGGGUAACGGCCCACCGAGCCUUCGAUGGAUAGGGGUUCUGAGAGGAAGGUCCCCCACAUUGGAACUGAGACACGGUCCAA
rnacentral:rRNA from 1 species